AUACGGAGGGUGCGAGCGUUAAUCGGAAUUACUGGGCGUAAAGGGUGCGUAGGCGGCUUGAUAAGUCGGAUGUGAAAGCCCCGGGCUUAACCUGGGAAUUGCAUUCGAUACUGUCAGGCUAGAGUAUGUCAGAGGUUGGCGGAAUUCCUGGUGUAGCGGUGAAAUGCGUAGUUAUCAGGAGGAACACCAGUGGCGAAGGCGGCUAACUGGGGCAAUACUGACGCUGAGGCACGAAAGCGUGGGGAGCAAACAGGAUUAGAAACCCUGGUAGUCC
rnacentral:rRNA from 1 species